UACGAGGGGGGCGAGCGUUGUUCGGAAUUAUUGGGCGUAAAGGGUGCGUAGGCGGUUUGAUAAGUCUGAUGUGAAAUCUAUGGGCUCAACCCAUAGUCUGCAUUAGAAACUGUCGGGCUUGAGUAUGGGAGAGGUGAGUGGAAUUUCCGGUGUAGCGGUGAAAUGCGUAGAUAUCGGAAGGAACACCUGUGGCGAAAGCGGCUCACUGGACCAUUACUGACGCUGAGGCGCGAAAGCUAGGGGAGCAAACAGG
rnacentral:rRNA from 1 species